GUAGGGAAUAUUGGGCAAUGGUCGGAAGACUGACCCAGCCAUGCCGCGUGGAGGAAGACUGCCCUCUGGGUUGUAAACUCCUUUUAUAUGGGAAGAACCGUCCUCAUUAAUGAGUGACCUGACGGUACCAUAGGAAUAAGCACCGGCUAACUCCGUGCCAGCAGCCGCGGUAAUACGGAGGGUGCAAGCGUUAUCCGGAUUCACUGGGUUUAAAGGGUGCGUAGGCGGAUAAAUAAGUCAGUGGUGAAAUCAACGGGCUCAACCUGUUAACUGCCAUUGAUACUGUGUAUCUUGAAUAUGAGAGAGGUAGGCGGAAUGUUGCAUGUAGCGGUGAAAUGCUUAGAUAUGCUACGGAACACCGAUUGCGAAGGCAGCUUACUAUUUCGUAAUUGACGCUGAGGCACGAAAGCGUGGGUAGCGAACAGGAUUAGAUACCCCGGUAGUCC
rnacentral:rRNA from 1 species